rnacentral:misc_RNA from 1 species
AAGUCGUAACAAGGUUUCCGUAGGUGAACCUGCGGAAGGAUCAUUACCAGAAACACAAUCGUGUAGUGGAUUAGCAUACGAGCGUCGACGAAUACCUAGUGUUUGUGGGCGCGAGUGUGUCAUACUAGAACCAUACGUUUUGUUGUAAACAAACAAAGUACAACUUUUAACAAUGGAUCUCUAGGCUCUU